GGCGGCGCCAAGGAGCGCGGGAGGCCGGAGCUCGGCCCCCUGCAGCACUAGGCUCUGGGAGCAGCGCGGCGCGCCCACCGGCCCGGCUGCCCGUGCGCCCGCCGCAGCCUGCAUGCCCUGCGCUGCGCCUCGCCCGGCCCCAGCCGCCGCCCACUGCUCGCACCGCUGCUGCCCGGCGCCGGAGUAAUAUGCUCACUCGAGUGAAAUCUGCCGUGGCCAAUUUCAUGGGCGGCAUCAUGGCUGGCAGCUCAGGCUCCGAGCACGGCGGCGGCGGCUGCGGAGGCUCGGACCUGCCCCUGCGCUUCCCCUACGGGCGACCCGAGUUCCUGGGGCUGUCUCAGGACGAGGUGGAGUGCAGCGCCGACCACAUCGCCCGCCCCAUCCUCAUUCUGAAGGAGACCCGGCGGCUGCCCUGGGCCACUGGCUACGCAGAGGUUAUCAAUGCCGGAAAGAGCACACACAAUGAAGACCAAGCCAGCUGUGAGGUGCUCACCGUGAAGAAGAAAGCAGGGGCCGUUACCUCAACCCCAAACAGGAACUCAGCUAAGAGACGGUCCUCACUUCCCAAUGGGGAGGGGCUGCAGCUGAAGGAGAACUCGGAAUCAGAAGGCGUUUCCUGCCACUACUGGUCGCUGUUUGACGGUCACGCGGGGUCCGGGGCUGCUGUGGUGGCAUCCCGCCUGCUGCAGCACCACGUCACAGAGCAGCUGCAGGACAUCGUGGAGAUCCUGAAGAACUCGGCCGUACUGCCGCCCACCUGCCUGGGCGAGGAGCCCGACCACACACCUGCGAACAGCCGGACUCUGACCCGCGCGGCCUCCCUCCGCGGAGGGGUGGGCGCCCCUGGCUCCCCCAGCACCCCGCCCACGCGCUUCUUCACCGAGAAGAAGAUCCCGCACGAGUGCCUCAUCAUCGGGGCUCUUGAGAGUGCAUUCAAGGAAAUGGACCUACAAAUCGAACGAGAGAGGAGUUCAUACAAUAUAUCUGGUGGUUGCACAGCCCUCAUUGUGGUUUGCCUUUUGGGGAAGCUGUAUGUGGCAAAUGCUGGGGACAGCAGGGCUAUAAUCAUCAGAAAUGGAGAAAUCAUCCCCAUGUCUUCGGAAUUCACCCCUGAGACUGAGCGCCAGCGACUUCAGUACCUGGCAUUCAUGCAGCCUCACUUGCUGGGAAAUGAGUUCACACAUUUGGAGUUUCCAAGGAGAGUACAGAGAAAGGAACUUGGGAAGAAGAUGCUCUACAGGGAUUUUAAUAUGACAGGCUGGGCAUACAAAACCAUUGAGGAUGAUGACUUGAAGUUUCCCCUUAUAUAUGGAGAAGGCAAGAAGGCCCGAGUAAUGGCGACUAUUGGAGUGACCAGGGGACUUGGGGACCAUGACCUGAAGGUGCAUGACUCCAACAUCUACAUAAAACCAUUCCUGUCUUCAGCUCCAGAGGUAAGAGUCUAUGAUCUCUCCAGAUACGAGCAUGGAGCAGACGAUGUGCUGAUCUUGGCCACUGAUGGACUCUGGGAUGUGUUAUCAAAUGAAGAAGUGGCAGAAGUAAUCACUCAGUUUCUCCCUAACUGUGAUCCAGAUGACCCUCACAGGUACACACUGGCGGCUCAGGACCUGGUGAUGCGUGCCCGUGGCGUCCUGAAGGACAGAGGAUGGCGGAUAUCCAAUGACCGACUGGGCUCAGGAGACGACAUCUCUGUAUAUGUCAUUCCUUUAAUACAUGGAAACAAACUGUCAUGAAAACAGCCCAGGGUUUUAGAAGGACAGAAGGGAAGAAAGUUGGGAUGCCUCGAGGCAGGGCGAGGCUGGGAAGUACCCCAGCAGAGUUCCAGAUGAUGCCACCUCUUCCCUGCCCAGGUGGGAAGCUUGCUGCCGAAAGGCCUCUGGCUGAGCUUCAAGAGGACCCUCGGGUUUCAGUUUCAUCUUUAGUAACAGGUCUGGAUACUCAACAAGAGCAAAACAUAAAGGCUGCUACUGAGUGUUGUGUUUCUGUCGGUUCCUUUCAUAGGCCUCCUAGGUGGCCAUUGCCCAUUUGGGGACACAUCCAUCAUAUUUAUUUUAUCCAGAGAGCUGGGGCAGCCGUUUUCGGGUGUCACUGGCAGAAGACUCUUCAGCCUGCCAAGCUGCCAACUUCCCUACGGGUUAAAAGUGCUGCAUUGGAGAGUUGGGGAUCAUGCGUCAGAAGAUGUAAGCGCCCAUCUUCUAUUUCUUCAUACCAGGUAGUGGAAUGAGUUGAGAGGGUCAUGGCCUCAUGGGGAUUCAUCAACUGUGAACAGACUCAAAAGAAAAUCAGACGGGAAUGGAUGCCAACACUAUAAAUCUUCACAGGAAUCAGCGGUAAAAGCUGUACAUUUCACCAGUGCCUCUAGAACUACCAUGGAUAUUACUCCCAAGAACUACUCCCAACAGGGGGAAAAAACUGCCUCAAGUGUUAUGACGCUUUGCACAGG